rnacentral:rRNA from 1 species
GCUGGCGGCAUGCCUAACACAUGCAAGUCGAACGGAAACAGGACGCUAUGAUCUCUUCGGAGUGAAUUUGUCGCUGUCGUGUGGCGGACGGGUGAGUAAUGCAUAGGAAUUUGCCUUGAAGUGGGGGAUAGCCCGGAGAAAUCCGGAUUAAUACCGCAUAUGUUCUACGGAACAAAGUGGGCCUCUGAUUUAAGCUCAUGCUUUGAGAUAAGCCUAUGUCGGAUUAGCUUGUUGGUAGGGUAAAAGCCUACCAAGGCGACGAUCCGUAGCUGGUUUGAGAGGAUGAUCAGCCACACUGGGACUGAGACACGGCCCA